AGCACAGUUAACACCUGGGAAUUGUCAGC
rnacentral:piRNA from 1 species